rnacentral:lncRNA from 1 species
GAUCCCUAAGACCUAACUACACCUUCUAACCGUCACAAAAAACAACACCCCUGAGAUCCUCUUCUUCUUCAACCUAGAACACGAGAGACCUUCAGCCGCCCACCACAAAACCAGCGUCGCCGCCCUUCAAUCUCCACAACCACAAAGCAACGGCCACCCAACCCCAAAAGAGAAUAGCAGCCCGUUAGCAACAACCCGUCUUCUUCACUUCAACUCACCCACUCGCCGGGAAACAAACCAACUGUCACCACUCUGUUUCCAUCUCUGCCAGACCCCAGCAGCAGAAUCGGUGACCUCCCCAUCGGCUCUCUUCUGCUUCAGAUCCAAAGAACACCCAGCUUGCCGGAACCUCUGCUUCUUCUUCUCCUCUUUAUAAAAAAUCGAUUCACCACCUGCCUGCCGCCGGGUUUUCUAGUCGGAAAUCCGGUAACACUUCUCAGAAACAACCGCUAGACUCACCAAACACACAUACGCUGACAGAAGCGAAAAACAGAUUUCAGAUUCAUGGAGUUCAUUUAAGUUCGAUUCAGUUGUUGGUCGAGUCCAGGUUUGUCGGCAAGUUCUGGUUUGUUGGUCUUGGUUGAAAUUUUCAUUCCGGAUUCAGAGUAGAUUCAAUCCCAUUUCUCAAAAUAAAACUAUCAUUAAAGGUCUAAUUCUCUUCCUUCCUUCUUGCAUUUUUAUUCUCAAACUUUGCUGCUGAUUGAUUGAUUUUGCAAUUUAUCUUGUGGCCGGUAUUAUAAUUUGUAUGCUAGUGUGUUCUUGGCAGAAUAGUUGCUAUGCCUUUAAUCACUUAUUCUUCAAUUGAGAACAUAAGAAAUAGAUUGGUUGAGUUGUUGGAUUUAGUUAAAAGUUGAAAUUAAAGAAGACACUGUCUUGAGACGGGAAAGUGAGUUAAGCUUAAGAAUGCUUUUUGAUUAAUUUGUGUUGUUUGAUUUAAUUCCAUUAAUAAGCCGCGGGAUCGAGAUUUAAAGAAAGCAUACUGAAAUUUGAGUAUUACAUAUUCACUACUUCAUUUGAUUUUGACCGCUACUAACAUGUUUUAGGCCGACCACACUUGGCUAGGCAAGCUUUAGGUUUUGGUUAAUUUCGAGGCGAGAGGUCGUUCCCUUAGUUAAAUUUAUCUAGGGAAUGCCCCAAAGGAUUUGUAUAUAUUUUAUUUAGGGGAAUGCCCCGUAGUAUUCUGUAAUUGGAGGCCGUGGCAAACAUCGUAGAAGAAGUGGCGUAGGAUAAUUUAGAACUUUAAUUUUUCUUCUUUUAAUUUUCUUUCAUUUAGGUGGGGACGACCUCGAGCCUCUCUUGAUUGUUUGUUUUCUUUUUGUGCGUUAUUACCUCAAUUCGAGUAUUUUAAAAGCCAACUAGAUUGAGUACACAACCGUAAAUUUCACGGGACUUGGGGAGUGCUUAACGCCUUCUCCCCGAGUCAAAUGAACCCCCUUACUCUAAUCUCUGGUGCAGACCUAGUUUGGAGUCCAAAGUAUUUUAAAAGGAAAAUUAUUUUAAAAACGGUGACCUGGCACACCGAAACCAAUGUCAGGUGGCGACUCUGAGUUAUUUCCUUUUGAACAAAAUUUUGUCACUUUUUAAAUUAAAACCCUUUUGAGCUUUACAAAUCUUUUUAUAUUUUUGAGAGGGUUUAGUGAAGUUUGUAAAAAAAAGGGUGUGACAUUAAUGAUGUACUGGAGUUUUGAAUAUAGAAUAUUUAAAGGUUUCUAGUUGAUCAUGACUAAAAUAGAGUACAUGGAAUGCAAGUUCAGUGAUGCAUCAUAUGAGGCGGGCGUAAAAGUGACGACUGAUACAAGAUUCAUCCAAAGAGAGGAAGUUUCAAGUAACUCAGAUCAAUAAUCCAAGGAAAUGGGGAGACAACCUCUCUACCUCACACAAUGUAGAUGUAAGGUCUGCAUACACCACAUCCUCCCCAGAAUCCAUUUGUUGGAUUACAGUGGGUAUGUUGUUGUUGCUAUUAUUUUAGAUCACAAGUUUUAAAAGUCUUUUUUUUCUUUCUUUAAUUCUGUGCAUGUUCACAUACAUUCAUUCUUUUUAAAAUGGAGGGAGUAAUAAGUUUUACAUAACCGACUAAUAACAGCAAGCUUAAAAGUGACUAUUUUUAAAUUUUUCGCGAACAUGGAUGGUUUGAUUUUGUGGGCUGCUAGUAUUUGUUUACUAAUGGCCAGUACUGUUGUGCUGAGGAGUUCUUGAGCUCUAAGAGGAGGGGCUUUGGAUCCAAUAAAGGUUUGAGUUACCCAUUAACGAGAGGUGUUUGGACCUUUCUUUUCCUUCAUUUGGACAACUGAUUGAUGAAAAUGUCUCUUUUUGGGUUGUUGCUUAGAGUGGAAAUGACACUAGGUAACCGUUUUUAAUUCCGCUCUUUAAAAUAUAUUCAUAGUUUACGAUGUAUUUAAAGAUUAUCCAGUUCGCUUAAACUUAAGGACAUGACGUCUUAAAGUUUAAACCUCAAAAUUCAAAUUUUAGGAUACUUUGUCCUAAAGUUCGAAAAUUUUGUCCAGAACACUUAAUCCUAAAUUUCAAAUUAGCACCUCAAAAAUUCAGGACUCGAAGUCCUGAUUUCAAAUUUAG